rnacentral:rRNA from 1 species
UACGGGGGGGGCAAGCGUUGUUCGGAAUUACUGGGCGUAAAGGGCUCGUAGGUGGCCAACUAAGUCAGCUGUGAAUCUCCAAGCUCAACUUGGAACGGCCAGCUGAUACUGAUGUGCUAGAGUGCAGAAGGGGCAAUCGGAAUUCUUGGUGUAGCGGUGAAAUGCGUAGAUAUCAAGAGGAACACCUGAGGUGAAGACGGCGCCCUGGCUCGCAACUGACGCUCAGACACGACAGCAUGGGGAGCGAACGGG